rnacentral:misc_RNA from 1 species
UUUCCGUAGGUGAACCUGCGGAAGGAUCAUUCAUAAUAAAGUGUUUUAUGGCACUUUUUAAAAAUCCAUAUCCACCUUGUGUGCAAUGUUAGAUCUCGUCAAUCUUGGCGAGAUUUUUAUACAUCAACUCUUUCUUUAACUAAUUUGUCUGAAAAAUAUUAUGAAUACUUAAUUCAAAAUACAACUUUCAACAACGGAUCUCUUGGCUCUC